rnacentral:rRNA from 1 species
GGGUCAGUAGGUUGGUCGUGCCACCGGUACGUACUGGUCUCACUGAUUCCUCCUUCCUGAAGAACCGUAAUGCCAUUAAUUUGGUGUUGCGGGGAAACAGGACUGUUACUUUGAAAAAAUUAGAGUGCUUAAAGCAAGCUAACGCUUGAAUACAUUAGCAUGGAAUAAUGAAAUAGGGCGAUCGAUCCUGUUUUGUUGGUUUCUAGGAUUGACGUA